rnacentral:misc_RNA from 1 species
GGUUAUUGUAGAGAGGUUAUUUCAGCAUAUGGGUUCCAGCACUGGUUUUCUAAGUGAAGAAGAUGCAGUUCACCAAUUGGAAAAUUUGCUCAGGUUCAGAGGACCAGAACCUAUACUACUGGUCCUUGAAGAUGUUUGGUCUGGAGCAGAAUUUCUAGUUGAAAGGUUCAAGUUUCCAAUAACAGAUUACAAGAUUUUAGUAACAUCAAGAUUUGAAUUUCCACGCUUCGGCC